rnacentral:lncRNA from 1 species
GACCACUGGAACAACCUGCUCGGAUUUGAACCCCAGCCACCGUCGAACAAGCCCUAACCACGUCUGCUCGGGACAAAAAACCCCUAAUCACCAUCUCGAAAUCGGUACGCUCGCAACUGGAUAUGGGUUUUACUCGAGGGCCGAUGACUACUUCUACAAUAAUGCAGGUAUUGAAUGGGAUAUGGGUGCUGUAGCUUGUAGAGAUGGCUUACGAGUGAGUAGAAAACAGUAUCGUAACUCGUCCGGCCCGUUUAAAUAGGUGGCAAACUUCUGUGUUUAAUGCCUUACUCGAAGCAGGAGCUGUUCCUAAUAAUGGGUUCACCUUUGACCACGUUUGAUGAACCAAGGUAAUCUAUAUCUGGGUACACUCAAUGAAGAG